GGCUGAUGGUGCGCCUCGGCCCCAUCUCAUCCGUAAAUUGUAGGAAACAAAAAGAAUCUCCAUCAGAGCAGCGCUUGGAGAUCCUACGAGGAAAUCCCUAUUGAAAACAGUGAGCAUUUGGAGGAGGGACGCCCCCUCUUUCGGAGCCGAACUGGCACCAGGAGUCCCAUUGGGCCGAAGGACGCCUCCCAGCAGUUGGAAAGGCCUGUUGAAAUCCGUAUAAAAAUGGAAAAUUACGAGAGCCUGCCUGAGGAAAGGGUCUUGCCCAACAGCUCUUGGAUAAGAGCUCCAAAGGAGAGCCCAGAAUAGAAAUCAUUACCACUGAACUUCUGCCGAGCGGCAGGGGAACGGCCUGCUGCACGUCUGCGUCUUCUGUUGGCUCAGAGACCCCCACAAGCAAAGCAAGGCCAUGGUGCUUUUCUUAUCAUAAGCAAGAUAGAGAGUCGUAGAAUCAUAGAAUUGCUCAGGUUGGAAAAGACCUCACAAGUCAUCAGAGACCGCAACCCAACCCUCCUACCCUGACUCUAACAGCCCUCUGCUAAGACAGGCAGAAAUGAGGCUGCGAGGUGGGGACGGUGUGGGACGGUGGGUAGGUGUUGGUUUGGUGCUGGUGUGCCCAGACCACCGUCUGUCCUGAAGGUUAGGGGUGAUCUGCAACGUUCUCUGGAUGGAUACCCGCCGUGCUGCACAGUUGGGGUGUGAAUAUCCUGGUCCCAGUUGUUGCCUUGCUCCGUAUCCGCAGCGGGGUCCCAGCCCCAAUGGGGCCAUGACAGAGGAGAGCUCAGAAAUACACUGCCACGAAGGGCAACAACAAAACCCUCAGUGCUCCACAGAGCAGCAGGACCAGCAGGAACACCAGCACUACCGCCGGGUUGGGCAGCAGCUCGGUGCAUGACUUGCAUGUGCACAUUCAACACUGCUGUCCUUGGGAGGUAGGAAAAGUCCAGCCUGGAUCCGCGAGGACACAGCUGAGCCCUGGGACGGCGGCUGCCACCCGGCUCUGGUUUCACCCCUAUGAACCCUGUGACUUCUUUUCCUCUCCCCUCCAGCUCAGGGGAAAAUCAGAAAGCCGUCCUGGAUGGUGAGAAGCUUCUUGGCUCCGUUCCCCACCAGGAUAAGUUUUCCCACCAGGAGGAGCGCAUCGCGGCGCUCGUUCAAGGGUUGUUUUUGCAAAUGUCCCCGGUUUGUUUUGCUGGUGCUUACAUUCCUCCCUUGGCACAGCAGGCAUACGGCCCUGUCUGUCAUUAACCCGCACGUCUGGCAAGAUUACUCUUCAACAAUAACAUCCUUUCAAAGAUCCCACUUCUCCUGCACCUGCAAAGCACGGGCAGGAGGCCGCCCGCAGCUCUGGGCACACAGCAACAAACCUCAGUGCCUUUGGGUGCCUUUAUUCCAGCUUCUGCUCAGCAGCACCUCUCAGCAAAGCAGCAG
ensembl:lncRNA